AGCAAGCUUAUCCACAUCCAUAUGACUACACAGAGAAGCACCAGCUGUGGCACCAUAACCAGAAAUUAUAUUCAGAACACCUUCAGGCAGGCCAGCCUCCUGAAAUAGACUUGCUACAUACAAUGCAGAUAAUGGGGUCUGCUCAGCCGUCUUUAGCACAAUUGUGUUACCACAAGCUAAAGCAGGGCCAAUCUUCCAAGAAAACAUGAGAAGAGGAAAAUUCCA
rnacentral:misc_RNA from 1 species